rnacentral:rRNA from 1 species
UACAGAGGUCUCAAGCGUUGUUCGGAUUCAUUGGGCGUAAAGGGUGCGUAGGCGGCGCGGUAAGUCGGGUGUGAAAUCUCGGAGCUUAACUCCGAAACUGCAUUCGAUACUGCCGUGCUUGAGGACUGGAGAGGAGACUGGAAUUUACGGUGUAGCGGUGAAAUGCGUAGAUAUCAGGAAGAACACCCGUGGCGAAGGCGGCUCUCUGGGACGGUACUGACGGCUGAGACGCGAAAGCGUGGGGAGCGAACAGG